CGGGACACGUGGUAUCCUGUCUGAAUAUGGGGGGACCAUCCUCCAAGGCUAAAUACUCCUGACUGACCGAUAGUGAACCAGUACCGUGAGGGAAAGGCGAAAAGAACCCCGGCGAGGGGAGUGAAAAAGAACCUGAAACCGUGUACGUACAAGCAGUGGGAGCCUCUUUAUGGGGUGACUGCGUACCUUUUGUAUAAUGGGUCAGCGACUUAUAUUCUGUAGCAAGGUUAACCGAAUAGGGGAGCCGAAGGGAAACCGAGUCUUAACUGGGCGUUAAGUUGCAGGGUAUAGACCCGAAACCCGGUGAUCUAGCCAUGGGCAGGUUGAAGGUUGGGUAACACUAACUGGAGGACCGAACCGACUAAUGUUGAAAAAUUAGCGGAUGACUUGUGGCUGGGGGUGAAAGGCCAAUCAAACCGGGAGAUAGCUGGUUCUCCCCGAAAGCUAUUUAGGUAGCGCCUCGUGAAUUCAUCUCCGGGGGUAGAGCACUGUUUCGGCAAGGGGGUCAUCCCGACUUACCAACCCGAUGCAAACUGCGAAUACCGGAGAAUGUUAUCACGGGAGACACACGGCGGGUGCUAACGUCCGUCGUGAAGAGGGAAACAACCCAGACCGCCAGCUAAGGUCCCAAAGUCAUGGUUAAGUGGGAAACGAUGUGGGAAGGCCCAGACAGCCAGGAUGUUGGCUUAGAAGCAGCCAUCAUUUAAAGAAAGCGUAAUAGCUCACUGGUCGAGUCGGCCUGCGCGGAAGAUGUAACGGGGCUAAACCAUGCACCGAAGCUGCGGCAGCGACACUAAGUGUUGUUGGGUAGGGGAGCGUUCUGUAAGCCUGUGAAGGUGUACUGUGAGGUAUGCUGGAGGUAUCAGAAGUGCGAAUGCUGACAUAAGUAACGAUAAAGCGGGUGAAAAGCCCGCUCGCCGGAAGACCAAGGGUUCCUGUCCAACGUUAAUCGGGGCAGGGUGAGUCGACCCCUAAGGCGAGGCCGAAAGGCGUAGUCGAUGGGAAACAGGUUAAUAUUCCUGUACUUGGUGUUACUGCGAAGGGGGGACGGAGAAGGCUAUGUUGGCCGGGCGACGGUUGUCCCGGUUUAAGCGUGUAGGCUGGUUUUCCAGGCAAAUCCGGAAAAUCAAGGCUGAGGCGUGAUGACGAGGCACUACGGUGCUGAAGCAACAAAUGCCCUGCUUCCAGGAAAAGCCUCUAAGCAUCAGGUAACAUCAAAUCGUACCCCAAACCGACACAGGUGGUCAGGUAGAGAAUACCAAGGCGCUUGAGAGAACUCGGGUGAAGGAACUAGGCAAAAUGGUGCCGUAACUUCGGGAGAAGGCACGCUGAUAUGUAGGUGAAGCGACUUGCUCGUGGAGCUGAAAUCAGUCGAAGAUACCAGCUGGCUGCAACUGUUUAUUAAAAACACAGCACUGUGCAAACACGAAAGUGGACGUAUACGGUGUGACGCCUGCCCGGUGCCGGAA
rnacentral:rRNA from 1 species